AGGGCACCACCAGGAGUGGAGCCUGCGGCUUAAUUUGACUCAACACGGGAAAACUCACCCGGCCCGGACACCGUAAGGAUUGACAGAUUGAGAGCUCUUUCUUAAUUCGGUGGGUGGUGGUGCAUGGCCGUUCUUAGUUGGUGGAGCGAUUUGUCUGGUUAAUUCCGAUAACGAACGAGACCCUGGCCUAUUAAAUAGACGAGAUAUUAAAAAGUAUAUCGCACUUCUUAGAGGGACAAGCGGCGUCUAGUCGCGUGAAAAAGAGCAAUAACAGGUCUGUGAUGCCCUUAGAUGUCCGGGGCUGCACGCGCGCUACACUGAAAGAAUCAGUGUGCGUUUUACCUAGUUCGGAAGAACCGGGUAACCCAAGUAAAUUCUUUCGUGCUUGGGAUAGGGAAUUGCAAUUAUUUCCCUUAAACGAGGAAUUCCCAGUAAAUGCGGGUCAUAAGCUCGCGUUGAUUACGUCCCUGCCCUUUGUACACACCGCCCGUCGCUACUACCGAUUGGAUGACUUAGUGA
rnacentral:rRNA from 1 species